rnacentral:lncRNA from 1 species
AUUGCUCACCUGCCUGGGCCUCAGCCCAUGACCAAGGAAACUUUUGCCCUCCCUCCCCAGGAGCUCACUUACAGGCCAUCUUCAAAGGUACUGCCUACCUGAACCUGCCUUGUCCCAAAGGACACACUUCAAUCUGGGGAGAGUUUAAAGUUGUAGACAUAUCCAUUUUCAUUUAAGGAAUAUGAAGAUCAGGGAGGCAAAAUAUAGAGAUAUAGAGAGGAAAAACUGAGAGAUGAUCAGAAAUUCAGACGCAUUCGGAAUGAGCACCCUUGACCAUACCAAGAACAAAGACUCUAUAAAAAUGUGAAGUCUUAUUAUUGUUCAUCCAUGUUCUACGUGGGAUCCACCCAAGACAUUGAAAACUGUACAGAACAGGGUGAAAUUGAAUCAGAUCAUUCUGUACUCCUAACAAGGUCCACCCCAUGAGAGACUUGCAGCAGAAUUAAUGACACUGUAUAUUUUCCUCUACUAACAACAACAAGAACAACAACAACAACAAUCUAGGAAAAUCAAAGGCAGCCCGACAUGGAAAAAAACACAAAAUGAAUAUUUGGAUUACAAAUAGUG